rnacentral:piRNA from 1 species
UUUCAUUCUCCAUCCGAAAAU